AGAGUUUGAUCCUGGCUCAGGAUGAACGCUGGCGGCGUGCUUAACACAUGCAAGUCGAACGAACCUUCGGGUUAGUGGCGGACGGGUGAGUAACGCGUGAGAAUCUGCCCUCAGGAGGGGGACAACAGCUGGAAACGGCUGCUAAUACCCCAUAUGCCGCGAGGUGAAAUGAAUUUCGCCUGAGGAUGAGCUCGCGUCUGAUUAGCUAGUUGGUGUAGGUAAUGGCUCACCAAGGCAUCGAUCAGUAGCUGGUCUGAGAGGAUGAUCAGCCACACUGGGACUGAGACACGGCCCAGACUCCUACGGGAGGCAGCAGUGGGGAAUUUUCCGCAAUGGGCGAAAGCCUGACGGAGCAACGCCGCGUGAGGGAUGAAGGCCUCUGGGCUGUAAACCUCUUUUAUCAAGGAAGAAGAUCUGACGGUACUUGAUGAAUAAGCCACGGCUAAUUCCGUGCCAGCAGCCGCGGUAAUACGGGAGUGGCAAGCGUUAUCCGGAAUUAUUGGGCGUAAAGCGUCCGCAGGCGGCCCUUCAAGUCUGCUGUUAAAAAGUGGAGCUUAACUCCAUCAUGGCAGUGGAAACUGUUGGGCUUGAGUGUGGUAGGGGCAGAGGGAAUUCCCGGUGUAGCGGUGAAAUGCGUAGAUAUCGGGAAGAACACCAGUGGCGAAGGCGCUCUGCUGGGCCAUCACUGACGCUCAUGGACGAAAGCCAGGGGAGCGAAAGGGAUUAGAUACCCCUGUAGUCCUGGCCGUAAACGAUGAACACUAGGUGUCGGGGGAAUCGACCCCCUCGGUGUCGUAGCCAACGCGUUAAGUGUUCCGCCUGGGGAGUACGCACGCAAGUGUGAAACUCAAAGGAAUUGACGGGGGCCCGCACAAGCGGUGGAGUAUGUGGUUUAAUUCGAUGCAACGCGAAGAACCUUACCAGGGUUUGACAUCCUGCGAAUCUCUUGGAAACAGGAGAGUGCCUUCGGGAACGCAGUGACAGGUGGUGCAUGGCUGUCGUCAGCUCGUGUCGUGAGACGUUGGGUUAAGUCCCGCAACGAGCGCAACCCACGUCUUUAGUUGCCAGCAUUUAGUUGGGCACUCUAGAGAGACUGCCGGUGAUAAACCGGAGGAAGGUGUGGAUGACGUCAAGUCAUCAUGCCCCUUACAUCCUGGGCUACACACGUACUACAAUGCUACGGACAAAGGGCAGCAAGUUCGCGAGGACAAGCAAAUCCCAUAAACCGUGGCUCAGUUCAGAUCGUAGGCUGCAACUCGCCUACGUGAAGGCGGAAUCGCUAGUAAUCGCAGGUCAGCAUACUGCGGUGAAUACGUUCCCGGGCCUUGUACACACCGCCCGUCACACCAUGGAAGUUGGCCACGCCCGAAGCCGUUACUCCAACCCUUGUGGAGGAGGACGUCGAAGGUGGGGCUGAUGACUGGGGUGAAGUCGUAACAAGGUAACC
rnacentral:rRNA from 1 species